GUUGGAGGGUCUGAGGUUAGGACAGGAGGAUCGGAGAGUCAUUGGGGUGAGGGUCUGAGGUUAGGACAGGAGGAUCGGAGAGUCAUUGGGGUGAGGGUCUGAGGUUAGGACAGGAGGAUCGGAGAGUCAUUGGGGUGAGGGUCUGAGGUUAGGACUGGAGGAUCGGAGAGUCAUUGGGGUGAGGGUCUGAGGUUAGGACAGGAGGAUCGGAGAGUCAUUGGGGUGAGGGUCUGCGGUUAGGACAGGAGGAUCGGAGAGUCAUUGGGGUGAGGGUCUGAGGUUAGGACUGGAGGAUCGGAGAGUCAUUGGGGUGAGGGUCUGAGGUUAGGACAGGAGGAUCGGAGAGUCAUUGGGGUGAGGGUCUGAGGUUAGGACAGGAGGAUCGGAGAGUCAUUGGGGUGAGGGUCUGAGGUUAGGACAGGAGGAUCGGAGGGUCAUUGGGGUGAGGGUCUGAGGUUAGGACAGGAGGAUCGGAG